AUUGAACGCUGGCGGCAGGCCUAACACAUGCAAGUCGAGCGAGCGGCGGACGGGUGUGUAAUGUAUGGGGACUGCCCGAUAGAGGGGGAUAACUACUGGAAACGGUAGCUAAUACCGCAUACUAUCGGAUAACCCAGAUGGGAUUAGCUAGUGGGUGGGGUAAUGGCUCACCUAGGCGACGAUCUCUAGCUGGUCUGAGAGGAUGAUCAGCCACACUGGAACUGAGACACGGCCCAGACUCCUACGGAGGCGGCAGUGGGGAAUAUUGCACAAUGGGCGCAAGCCUGAUGCAGCCAUGCCGCGUGUAUGAAGAAGGCCUGCGGGUUGUAAAGUACUUUCAGUCGGGAGGCGUUACCCGCAGAAGAAGCACCGGCUAACUCCGUGCCAGCAGCCGCGGUAAUAC
rnacentral:rRNA from 1 species